CACCUUUAAACACACAUCUGGGGUUUAUUUUUGAUUACACCAGCACAUAAAUUUGUGAAGUUUCAAUUUCGAACACUGCGAAUUUUGCCUUUGGGGACAUGUUUUCAAAGAACUAUACAAGUGACGUACUUUAGGGUUAUAAUAUACCCCAAAAAUAAGUCGACAAUUCGUUUCUCUGCCUUUCUUUCAAUUCACCGGAAGCAUUUUGAUGUUGACCGGUACUUUUCCAUCAUUUAUUUUAACAAGCUGCAUGCUAAUGAAAUUGAAUGACCAUAUUGUAAACCUGUCAAUCGUGACCUUCACCUCGGAAAUGAAAGGAGAAAAAUUUCGACAUUAUUAGUUGAAUAGUUAUAUUUUGACGUAUUUAUAGCAUUUGAAACUGUUAAACAUGUGUAUGUGGUUUAAUACAGAUUUGCUUAAAUGCAGUUUAUUUUACAAACACGUCAUGGGGCUAUUGGCUAUAUCCUUUCCGCAGCCUUAACGUAAUAAAACAUAUUAGCGUCUGAUGACCCUUUCACGCUUCCAUAGAAUCAACAUUUAUUACACAAAAUUAAUUUUGAAAAUAUUUCUGAAAUGUCUAGGUCUGCAGUUCUCAAAUAUGGUUAUAUCUUAAAUCCAAGGCAUACAUGUAUACAGACACUCUCAGACAACAUCAAAAACAACCUUUUGAAUGAUUUGAUGAAGUUCUAAAAUUAUCAGUGUACCCUUGGUCCGUGACGGACCCAUUUGGGAUUUGUGGGUAUCUGAGCUCAACUAUCAUUUUGUAGAUGAAAAGCUGACAUGCCGUACUAAAGCCCAGGUAAUUUUAGUUUCAAUUUGUUACCAUGAGCGUCCAGAUGGGGUGACCCCUGCGCGUGACCCCUGACUAUCUACGAAUCAAAUAUGGCUUUCGUUUUCAAGCUUAGCAUUUCUACUUUCAUUUUCUUUUCUUCCGCAAAAAGCUUAAGGUCGAGUGACUCACUUUUUGUGUUGUCAAAAACAUAUAUAUAUAUGCCUGGCGAGAUUGCAAUGCAUAAAUAUGUGCUGGCUGUCCUAAGGUUAUGAAAAAAUCUCUCAGUAUUUCCUAGGAUCACAUCAAAUUGGAGUAGCCCAGAUCUCUACUCUAGACCGAAUUCCGGUAUUGUAUGUUAUGGUAUAGGACUUGAAUAUUAAAACAGCAAGAAAGAAUGUAGACGGCCGUGUAGCUCAGUCAGUAGAGCAUCAGAACAGUAUUAUGAGGCCCCCAGGUUUGAGUCCUGGUCUGGCUGCACAUUUUUCUCACCCUUUGACAUUUGGCGCCCAGCUUUGGGCGGUGAUGGUAUUACACUGGCUAGUCUCCUAUGCCUGUAAUUGCUUAUAUAUACUUAAGUACCUGCUGAAAAAAAAUUUAAGGACAAAUUUCAAAAUGGUGGGGAAAUAUGUCACGGUAUAGGACUUGAAUAUCUAAACGGGGAGAAAGUGUGUAGGCGGCAGGGUAGCUCAGUUGGUAGAAUAUCUGAAAGGUAUUCCGAGGCCCUGGGUUCGAAUCCCGGUCUGACUGCACUUAUUACUAACCUUGUAACAUGUGUUCAUAACCAGUGUUUAAAGUAAUUGCUCUACUAGUAUUAGUUAUGACUAGUUGUCAUAGGAUUGUCAUUACGGGUUGUUUUUGUAAAUAUUUCAUCUAUAACAUUAGCUCUUGCUGAUGUUUAAAGUAUAUUUAAAUAUGUAAUUUUAUCUGAAGAAAAGUCUAGUUGAAUUAAGAGAAAAAAGUCUCUCAGUGAAAAUGAAAAAAUCUGUUUUAAAGCCUUACUUGAUUACAGGCUGAUAAAUAAAAUCUAUAACUCAGUGUAAGUUCUGUAACUACCAUUUAUUGUCAUGAGUACAUUAGAUUUGUUUUGACUGAAUAUUAACAUUUUGGUAUUGACUAAAAAGUUUAUUAUCAGCUUUGUAGGUUAAAUUUAUAUUUGAUGCAUUUUUUUUUGUUACAGAUGUGUGUGCAAUUCCACAUCUGAGCACUGUAAGGUCUGGCAGCAAAAUAAAGAUAUAUUCAAAUGGAUCUUGUGCUGUGUCUCACAUCUGACAUCAUACUAGAAAAGGGUCAUGUAAACGUAACAAAAAGUCAUGCGAAUGGACAUCAAAAUGUUGACACAGAUCGGUAUUUGAGACUUAAAUAUUCAGGAUAUAACUUCAUAAAACUGGCGGAUAAACCAAACUGCGAAGGUGCUUUCGAAUGGCAAGUAAAACAGUUGUGUCUCUUCGUAGGAACGAUGAUACAAUAUUUACGUAUGCAUUCAAAUGAUGCUGUUCAAGGUAACAAGAAGAAGUUAACAUUUGGCAGUGUGAGAAAGGAAAUUUACUUCUGCAUGACGGGAAAAUGAUAUUUGCAUGCAUAUUUUAUCGGAGGCAGCUGCAAAACCACCAACAGGAAACUCUUUUUGAUAUUAUGUUGUGAUAGACUAUUUGACUGUUUUCGGCCCGCUUUGGCGAGACGGUAUUACGAUAGUUUUAUAAGAAAAUCUGCGAUAAAGUCCGGAAAUCUCGCUUGUGGAGAGAAGAAACUCGAUUAUGAUGUUCCCGCUAAGGAAAAAGAAAUCUUGCGUCGAACCAGAAGCUGUGUGAAUACAUCCCCGAGAAGAAAGUCACUACGUCGGCCAGCUGCAGUUUUUUACCAUCAUCUGAAGAUAGUGUCUUUCAGGAAUAAAGGCUUUUGGCUGGACCAGCUACUCUGCCUAACUGUGACCUCAUUUUCUCUGUCUCUCCUUCCGGUGGUGCUCAAAUUCCGGAGCUCUCGAUCCAUAGGCAGACGCCAUACGACUGAGCUAUCAUGGCACACGAUUCCGUUAACAGUGCUGUGAUUGUGUCUAAUUGUAGACCGAUGUUUAAAAAUGUUAAAAUAAUUAUUUACGACGUUAAGUCAGCAACAGCCACAUGCUAGCGUUUUUAUAAAACUAAGCUUGUUUUACAAUUAAUGUGCGAAGCCACUGCUGCAGACGACAAUUUAUAUUGGAAGCGAGACAAGAACAGACGAAUACAAUACAUAUCACUUCGCGCUAAGGUAACCACGUAGACAGUUUGUUGAGGUAUUGACUCAUUAAAGCUAUUUUGACCUUGUCUGCACAAUAGCAGCUUCAUUUACGAUUUGACUCUAACUAAACUUGCGCACAACUUGUAACACCACAAGAUCUUGGUUCCAUUCUUGAACUGGGCAGAUUCCAUCAUGGAUUCUAUAGAGUUAUGGCCCCCCAAAGGUCCCAAAUUGGCUAUGUUGGCCUUUCCAACCAUAUAGAGAUUUCUUUUAUGGUUUGACUUGAUACGAACUUCCAAAAUAGCUUCAACAACAAUAAAUCUUGGAUUCCAUGAGUUAUCUUAUAUGUGAUUACCUCCCCUGAUUGUCAUCAAAAUGGAUUUAUAUCAGUAAGUACUUAUAGGACUUAUUUGAAAUUUCAUUAUUGUCUUACUGGCUUACGGAAGGUCGGUGGUUCUACCCAGAUGCCCGCUCCUGAUGAAAUAGUGCACGGAGGGGCACCUGGGGUCUUCCUCCACCAUUAAAAGCUGGAAAGUCGCCAUAUGACCUAAAAUUGUGUCGGCGCGACAUUAAACCCAACAAAAUAAAAAAAUAAAAUCAUUAUUGUCAUUAAUUGGAUUGAGACAAUCAGGGUAGGUAACUAUGGACUGAUUUCAAAUUACCUCCCUUUAUUUGAAAUUAAAAUGGAUAUAUCUCCGUAACCAACAAAGAUAAUGAUUUGAAAUUGCAUUUAUGUCAACAGACAGACUUGGACAAUCACUGAAGAUACAUAUUGGCUGAAUUUUUGACAAAUUACCUCCCUUUAUUUUUUAUCUAAAUGAGGACACCUUAGCAUCUUCAAAUGAGAUUUGUUUGAAACGUUAUUUAUGUCUUUCAUGGUAAGAAAUAAUCGUAUUAGGUAACUUUUGAUAGAACAUUUAUCGAUAUAAAUACUUUACUAAUAUAUUGUUGUAUAGGCUUGUACUCUGUAUCUUCUACAUGCAUAUACCAAUGCAUCAUUACCUCCCCUGAUUUUAAUAAAAAUGGAUGUUGAUAGAACUCAUUUGGAAUGUCAUUAUUGUUUUUAGUUUGACUAAGGCAACCAGGGUAGAUAGUGUGGACUGAUUUUAUAUCAAAUUACCUCCCUUUGUAGCCCGCCCGCUUAGCUCAGUAGGUAAGAGCGUUGGUCUACGGAUCUCGGGGUCGCGAGUUCGAUCCUCGGGCGGGGCGUAUAUUCUCCGUGACUAUUUGAUAAACGAUAUUGUGUCUGAAAUCAUUAGUCCUCCACCUCUGAUUCAUGCGGGGAAGUUGGCAGUUACUUGCGGAGAACAGGUUUGUACUGGUACAGAAUCCAGGAAUACUGGUUAGGUUAACUGCCCGCCGUUACAUGACUGAAAUACUGUUGAAAAACGGCGUUAAACCCAAAACAAACAAACAAAAACCUCCCUUUGUUUCAAAUUAAAAUGGUUGUAUCUCAGUAACCAAUGAAGACACUGAUUUGAAAUGUCAUUUGUGCCAUCAGAUGGACUCGAACAAUCGGGGUAGAUAACUUUUGACUGAAUUUAUGACAAAUUACCUCCCUUUAUUAUUUGUAAACGAAUAUAUAAGUAUGUAAGGAAUAUCGUGUUAGUAAAAAAAAUGCAGCAUUUGAGCCUAGGACCCUCUAUGUCAAAACUUGAUAAUAUCAUUUUGAGCAAUGGUACUCCGGUGAGCGAUACAGGGCCAUCAUGGCCCUCUGGUUUAUUUUUGUAAUUGGAAAACGCACCACGUAGAGGUUGCUUAUUACGAAAAUGAUAUUUUUGUUUUAAAAGAUAAUUACUUUAAAAUAUUUUGUGUUUUUAGGAUAGAUGAUACAUUGGGUUUUAUCACAUGACGUGUUUAAAACAUGUAAAGGUAGCUGUUCCUGUUUUAUUUUUCUUCUUACUGUAUUUUCUUUCGAUAUAAAUAAUAUUUUAUAGUAUCAAUAAAGUUGAUGUUUCAUGUUGA